rnacentral:rRNA from 1 species
AGCCAUGUCAGUACGGCGAGUGAGCGGCAACAGCUCAAUUUGAAAUCUGGCCCUAGGCCCGAGUUGUAAUUUGCAGAGGAUGCUUUUGGCGCGGUGCCUUCCGAGUUCCCUGGAACGGGACGCCAUAGAGGGUGAGAGCCCCGUACGGUUGGACACCAAGUCUUUGUAAAGCUCCUUCGACGAGUCGAGUAGUUUGGGAAUGCUGCUCAAAAUGGGAGGUAUAUUUCUUCUAAAGCUAAAUAUUGGCCAGAGACCGAUAGCGCACAAGUAGAGUGAUCGAAAGAUGAAAAGCACUUUGAAAAGAGGGUUAAACAGCACGUGAAAUUGUUAAAAGGGAAGCGCUUGUGACCAGACUUGCGUCCGGUGAAUCACCCAGCUCUCGCGGCUGGGGCAUUUUGCCGGCUCAGGCCAGCAUCAGCUUGCCGUCGGGGACAAAAGCUUCGGGAACGUAGCUCUCUUCGGGGAGUGUUAUAGCCCGUUGCAUAAUACCCUUCGGUGGGCUGAGGUACGCGCUCCGCAAGGAUGCUGGCGUAAUGGUCAUCAGCGACCCGUCUUGAACAACACGAGACCCA